UCUUACGGAUGAGCAAAGAAUGUGGUUUCUUUAGAUGGAAUCUACUGUUAGUGAAGUGGCUAUGAA
rnacentral:pre_miRNA from 1 species